GCACAGAGUUAGCCGUCCCUUCCUCUUUCGCUACUAUCAGUGUUUCCAAUGUUCUCGGAAACACCUUGAUCGCAAAUGACAGGGGUUUACGGGCCGAAGCCAUUCAUCCCCCACGCGGCGUCGCUCCAUCAGGCUUUCGCCCAUUGUGAAAAAUUCUCGA
rnacentral:rRNA from 1 species